GAUGAACGCUGGCGGCGUGCCUAAUACAUGCAAGUCGAGCGAACAGACGAGGAGCUUGCUCCUCUGACGUUAGCGGCGGACGGGUGAGUAACACGUGGAUAACCUACCUAUAAGACUGGGAUAACUUCGGGAAACCGGAGCUAAUACCGGAUAAUAUAUUGAACCGCAUGGUUCAAUAGUGAAAGACGGUUUUGCUUUCACUAAUAGAGGGAUCCGCGCCGCAUUAGCUAGUUGGUAAGGUAACGGCUUACCAAGGCAACGAUGCGUAGCCGACCUGAGAGGGUGAUCGGCCACACUGGAACUGAGACACGGUCCAGACUCCUACGGGAGGCAGCAGUAGGGAAUCUUCCGCAAUGGGCGAAAGCUUGACGGAGCAACGCCGCGUGAGUGAUGAAGGUCUUCGGAUCGUAAAACUCUGUUAUUAGGGAAGAACAAAUGUGUAAGUAACUAUGCACGUCUUGACGGUACCUAAUCAGAAAGCCACGGCUAACUACGUG
rnacentral:rRNA from 1 species